AUCCAGUUGAUGAAUCCUAAAUAGGACGAAACACGCGUUUCGGAU
rnacentral:hammerhead_ribozyme from 1 species